rnacentral:rRNA from 1 species
UACGUAGGGGGCAAGCGUUGUCCGGAUUUAUUGGGCGUAAAGAGCGUGUAGGCGGUCAGGUAGGUCCGUUGUGAAAACUCGAGGCUCAACCUCGAGACGCCGAUGGAAACCAUCUGACUAGAGUCCGGAAGAGGAGAGUGGAAUUCCUGGUGUAGCGGUGAAAUGCGCAGAUAUUAGGAAGAACACCCGUGGCUAAGGCGGCUCUCUAGUACGGUACUGAUGCUGAGACGCGAAAGCGUGGGGAGCGAACAGG